CACUGAGUAAUCUAAGAUGGUAUGUGUCUCUAGAUCAAUGAGUUCCUUAGAGGAGUACACCUCAACUCUGGCAAACGUCAAACACUGAGUAAUCUAACCUAGUAUGUGUCUCUAGAUCAAUGAGUUCCUUGGAGGAGUACACCUCAGCUCUGGCAAACGUCAAACACUGAGUAAUCUAACCUAGUAUGUGUCUCUAGAUCAAUGAGUUCCUUGGAGGAGUACACCUCAGCUCUGGCAAAGGUCAAUUUCCCUUGUGGAUCAUUAGUUUGUCUAAAUCCCGGGCCACAUUUGACAUGGGCCACUCCUUGAAUAGUUCUAGAGUACAAAUCCAGCAGACAUCAUAUUUACAAACUAUUGAUGGAACUUGUGUUGAAGUCGGACUUAUGGCAAGGUGACUUUCAUGUAGUCAAUACUACAUGUAGUAUAUGUAGCCAGUACUACAUGUAGUAUAUGUAGCCAAUACUACAUGUAGUAGUAUAUACUACCAGACUGGAGGAAAAGCGGACAAAGACUGGUCUGCGCAACUAGCGUUAAUCAUUUCUACACCUCCUAUUUUUUUGUGAUGUAGUGAUUGGAGCACAUACUUGUUGCUCACAAAAAAUUCAUGAAGUUUGCUUCUUUGAUGAAUUAUGGCUCUACUAAAAUGUGAACACAUCUGCUGGGUCAAAAGUAUACAUACAGCACAUACAUGAUCAAUUUUGGUGAUGUGGAAAUGUUACAAUCAAAUGAAAGUAGCUUCAUGUGAUUGUGAUUGUUGACUUCUCUGAGCCCAUUUAAAUGUGGCUCAUGUGAUGCAGUCAUUAGACUGGCUUACAAACGCCACAACGAGAAAGUCAAAGGAACUCGGCACAGAUCUGGAAAAAGGAAUCAUUGACUUGAACAAGUCAGGAAAGUCACUUGGAGCCAUUUCAAAGCAGUUUAAGGUCCCAAGAGCAACUGUGCAGACACUUGUUUAUAAGUAUAAAGUGCAUGGCACAGUUUUGUCACUGCCAUGAUCAGGAAGAAAAUGCAAGCUAUCACCUGCCACUGAGAGAAAAUUGGUGAGGAUGAUCAAGAGUCAGGAAAGAAGCAGCAAAAAGCAGGUCUGCAAUGAAUUGGAAGCUGCUGGAACACAGGUGUCAGUGUCCACAGUCAAGCAUGGCCAUGGACUGAGAGGCUACCAUGCAAAAAGGAAGCCCUUGCUCCAGAAGCCACACCUAAAGGCUCCUCUAAACUUUGCUGCUGAUCACAUGGACAAAGAUAACACCUUCUGGAGGAAAAUUCUGUGGUCAAAUGAAACUAAACUUUAGUUUGUUUGGCCACAAUACCCAGCAAUAUGUUUGGAGGAGAAAUGGUGAGGCAUUUAAUCCCAGGAACACCAUGCCUACUGUCAAGCAUGGUGGUGGUAGUAUUAUGCUCAGGGCCUGUUUUGCAGCCAAUGGAACUGCUGCUUUAAAUGGGACAAUGAAAAAGGAGGAUUAGCUCCAAAUUGUUCAGGACAAGCUAAAAUCAUCAGGGGGGAGGUUGGGUCUUGGGCACAGUUGGGUGUUCCAACAGGACAAAGACCCCAAAUACACCUCAAAAGUGGUCAAGGAAUGGCUAAAUCAGACUAGAAUGAAGGUUUUCGAAUGGCCUUCACAAAGUCCUGACUUAAAGGUGUGGACAAUGCUGAAGAAACAAGUCCAACACAUUUAGCUGAACUGCAGCAAUUUUGUGGUGAAAAAUGUAAGCAGAAGCUUGUGGAUGGCUACCAAAACCACCUUAUUGCAGGUAAACUUGCCAAGGGACAUGGAAGCAAAUAUGAACAUUGCUGUAUGUAUACUUUUGAUUGCUCACAUUUUCAGUAGAGUCAUAAUAAAUUCAUAAAACAAGCAAACUUCAUGAAUGUUUUUUGUGAGCAACAAGUAUGUGCUCCAAUCACUACAUCGCAAAAAAAUAAGAGUUGUAGAAAUGAUUGGAAAGUCAAGACAGCUCUGACAUCAUGUUCUUUACAAGUGUACCUACACUUUUGACCAGGACUGCAUACAUACAUACAUAAUAAUGAUUAUAGUGUUUAUUGUUCUUCGGUCAAUGGUCAACAAAGCAAACAAACAGUUGUACAUUCAUAGAUUG